AAAAAAAAAAAAAAAAAAAUCAUCCCCAGCACCUUACCUCAUUAUACCCUUUUGUUUUUAUUUUGAGUUCCCUACUUUUUCGUAGCCUGCAUACACAUGCAUGUAAAACAACAUCUAAAGUCUUAUCGCUAAACCCUUUUUUUAUUCAAGAUUAUGACGUCAUUAUAGUGUUAAUCUUUUUUGGGUUUGCAUUAUAUAAGAGAAUGGAAUCUGGGCUUUGGAUCUGCUUUUGCAGUAACCAAGACUGUUCUACCAACAAGGAAUAAAGUUAUUCCUAAACUGUCAAAAAAGCAAAAUCCCUCUCUCUUUCUUACUCUCUUUAUACGUGGGAGUAGUGAAACAGUGACUGAGGAUAUAGUAUUUUUUGGUCGGUAGGUUUGUAAGGUACAGAUGAGAUAGUG
rnacentral:misc_RNA from 1 species